rnacentral:rRNA from 1 species
ACUCCCAACCCAAUGGUGAACGUUACCAAACUGUUGCCUCGGCGGGGUCACGCCCCGGGUGCGUCGCAGCCCCGGAACCAGGCGCCCGCCGGAGGAACCAACCAAACUCUUUCUGUAGUCCCCUCGCGGACGUAUUUCUUACAGCUCUGAGCAAAAAUUCAAAAUGAAUCAAAACUUUCAACAACGGAUCUCUUGGUUCUGGCAUCGAUGAAGAACGCAGCGAAAUGCGAUAAGUAAUGUGAAUUGCAGAAUUCAGUGAAUCAUCGAAUCUUUGAACGCACAUUGCGCCCGCCAGUAUUCUGGCGGGCAUGCCUGUCCGAGCGUCAUUUCAACCCUCGAACCCCUCCGGGGGAUCGGCGUUGGGGAUCGGGACCCCUCACACGGGUGCCGGCCCCGAAAUACAGUGGCGGUCUCGCCGCAGCCUCUCCUGCGCAGUAGUUUGCACAACUCGCACCGGGAGCGCGGCGCGUCCACGUCCGUAAAACACCCAACUUUCUGAAAUGUUGACCUCGGAUCAGGUAGGAAUACCCGCUGAACUUAAGCAUAUCAA